UAGCCUGAUUUCGCCCUAUCGUGUGAAUAGCCUCAUUCUGUAGUGAUGGUAGGCAGUGUUUCCUCUAACAGGGAUUUCCAAAUGUUGUUGACUACAACUCCCAGAACCCCCAGCUGCAAUGGCAUUUGCUUGGGGAUUAUGGGAGUUGUAGUCAUCAACAUUUGGGAAUCCCUGUUAGAAGAAACACUCAUGGUAGGGCUUCGGGGAGGGUUAGGCCUCACUUACAGCAACUGCUGGCAGGCUAGGCCUUUCCUAAUAAGGGCAAACACUGGGAAAUUCAAAACAGAAGGACCAAUCCCGAGGACUGUGCAGGGACUAGCCAUACAGCCACCUAUUGAAGAAGGGAAAGCUUUGUUCUCUUAGUUAGUUCUGUCCCAGGAGGGCCUUGAGGAAGCAGUGGGGCUGAGACCUGCUGGAGAAAUGGAGAGGCCGCAGCCACAUGCAACUAGAUUCUCCAAACUGAAGAGAACAGAGAACAGAGAGAAAUGAAAUGAAGAAUUGUCCAAUGUCACUUCUAACCUUCACUGGCCCAUAAAAAUCUUGGUGGGAGAAGCAGCCCAAGCACAAAGUGCCUGGAUUAUAACCUGAUAUAUGGAACGCCUACUUAAGUUGAGAAGUAAGUGCUUCAUGGACAUUUCUGUGCAGAUAAAUCCCUGUGUCUCAUAGCAGGGAUUUGCAAACAGGAAUCCAUUCAUGGCAAAAAGUGGACCCAGAUGUUCCUUCAGAAAAAAUGUUGAAAGGCCCCAGCAGAGCGUGGGAGGUGGCAACAUUUGCUGGUGUGAAGCCCAACUCCAUCACCCAGUAGCAUGCAUGGGAGCAAUAAUGGGAGCAGGAGCAGCAAGCGACUCAGUGGGAGGCAAUCGGCAAUCAGCUGGACUUGGCUCAGCUGCUGGAGUCCUGGAAGAGAAAAAACAACCUGGGGAAGCCCUUUGCUGCUGCUGCUGCUGCUGCUGCUGCUGCAGUGGCUGUGACAAGAGAAUUUGCAAGGGCAGUGGCAGCUCCAGGAUCCCAGGAAAGGAAAUGGACUGGUUGGAGAGAGACUGUAUACUGGCAUGUUUCCUUUGCUGGAUCAAAACUGCCGUGAUAUUUCCUGAGCAACAAUGGAAAAAAUAUCAGCAAGCAUGCUUAGUUCUUAACAAUUGCUGGAAGACUCUUAUUUUGUAUAGAAAUGCAGCAAUUUCCACAUUAAGAAGAAAGUGAUCUUUGCUUUGGAAACUGCACUGAAAACAUUUGUUUUCAAAACAUGCACACAUUUUUAAAUAAAACAGCUAGUUACAGAUGACUACUGUAUUUUUGAAGAAAAUCAGUAUGAUCUACAGAUCUUAUCAGCUGGUACUCAUCUGUUAUUUUCUAGCUUACAGAAUAGAUUUUUGGAAAAUACAUUUUUGAAUGAAGCCAGGAAAAGGUGGCAUUUCUAUUUAGAGAAAACUUCAAAGAACAGUUCUAUAAGAUUAUAAAUCCUAUAAUCUACAUGGUCUCAGCUACUUCAAUAGUAAGUCUACAUUGUAACUUACUAUAUUCAAUAGUAAGUCUGUUUUGGAAUAAAGGAACUUUAUUUAGCCCUGUAGACCAAUGGAGCUCCUCAGAAAGGAAUAAAACUUCCAUUGCAAACUCAAAAAUUAACCAAUUAGAGACCUUAUCAGAUAUUCAGAGAAUGUGAGGACAAAGGGAAUUAUUGUCCACAUUCCUUACUCCAUGCAUUCAUCUGAACAAAUAUUGAGUGGACAACAUCAUACACAAUCAAGGAUUCUGCCUUUUGCAUGGUCCCCAGUCAGUGAGCAAGAGUCUAUUAACACAGAACACAUUUAAGUUCUGUCCAGAAUUUCAAGUGAACAUGUAAAGGCUGAAAGCGGGAACAGGAGGCAUAAUUUUGAUACCUCCCCAUACAUAUGUGCGCAGACACACACACACACACACACACACACACAAUGUGAAAAGUAUUAAUGGGUGAGCUGCUCCAAGCUUACCUCUAAAUAACUCAGAAAUAAUCCAAAAUCAUAUUUUUUAAAAAUCAGAAGAUUGCUGAUCAUUUUUCUGAGUUAAUCCAAGGCCCAGACAAGAUCUAUGUCUUAGCCACUUAAUUUUCUUCUGUUUAAUAUAAUGGAACUAGGUUGCUCCAUUAUAUUGGAUGGGGGAGAAUGAAGAGGGUGCAGAUACCAGCACAAAGGUAGCCACUGGAGGAUAGGCCAGAGGCUGAAAUUGGGACUGAGGGGGCCUAGUAGAGCAGCAGGAUUGAAAGAGUCAACCAGGAGGCAGACUCAAAAAGCAAGCUGGGAGCCACUGAAGCCAAGGGUCAAAGCCAAGUGGCCAAUAAGAACCAGGAGCAGAAGAUAAGGCAAAAGUCAGAUCCAAAACCAUGGGUCAAGCCAAGCAAGCAAACAGGAACCAGGAGUGGAAAACAAGCCAGAAAUCAGAGCCAAAGCCAGGGGUCAAGCUGAGCAGGAACCAGGAUUGGAAAACACAAGUCACCAAGAUUAAGGAGACCUUGAAACUGAGGCAAAGCCAAGCCAGACAGGAAGCCAUUAUGUCUUUCCUGGCCUGGAAGGAACCAUCAGGGCUUUGUUACAUGCAUUUGUAUGUAACGUACUUUCCCUCUUAUAUGUGCCAUAGAAAAUAUAGCAUAUAUUUCUUCAGACUCAUGUUGCAACUCUAACUUUUAAAGUCAAGCUUUUGAAUAGAGCUCAUUCCUUUGUUUAACAGAACAGAAUCAAGUGAGAUAGUGUGCAUAUAACUUAUGGAGGGGAAAAAUCAAUACUGUGAUUUAUGAUUCACACAAAGACACUUCUCUUUUCAGUCACGAUUUUCAUUCACUUAUCUUUGCAGAUUUCAGAAAGCUUUAAUGUUUUAAGGACAGUGGUUGCCAAAUAGUUCCCAAAGGGCAGGAGAUUUUAAAAAUAAGGGAAGCAAUGUCCUAUAGUUCUCACCAGCUGUAUUUACUGAAAUAUAUGCCAGGACCAUCUGGUGCAAUCUGUACCACAUCCUGGGUGGUCCUCUUUAUUAAAACUCUCUUUCCCCCCUUUUUGUUGCUCGGAGGUGUUCCCGAAAGAAUAUUUACAUUUAAAUGUUGGUAAUCACCUUGGGAAGAUGUGUCUUAAAAGGCAAGAUUCAAAUGUAUAUAAUACAAAUAAGUGAGAUAAAGUGAGUGGCUGCAGUAGCGCUCUUUGGACUGGACUUCUGGGCAGAGGUCCAGUCCCUUGCAGGCCUGGGGGGCCUCCAAAUGCUGAGCGGUCCACCAACUUAAGUGGCAGGAUUGUCCAUUCAAAAUGUGGUAUCUCUCUGCAAGUCAGUGGGAAGUAUCUUAUUCAGAAUAUCUUCUUUAAAAAGAUAGAGAGUUUCCAGCUUUCCCUGAACAUGUUCUGGUAUAAAAAAUAAUGCAUUGCAGCUUAUCUAUUGGCAGCAGCAGGAGCAGUAAUCCCCCCCGCCCCCCGAAAGGCCUUUAGGUCCAGGCUCCAAAAUUACCUAGGUGCACCUCUGAGUGGCUAGCAUCCAGACGAAUGAUGUGCUGAUGAACCGGAGUUUUCCAUCAUGGAAGGGGGAAAGGAGCAAUUUUUGGUGGCCUCCCCUUCCCUCUGCAACCAUCUCUGCCUCAUGAAACUAUGUCCCUGAGGGAGUGGCAUAGGGAGGCCAGUAACAGCCCUGGUUCAGCCCGCCAGCAGUGGCCCCUCUAGCCAUGCCUCCUACGCCUGAUGUCAGAUGCAGGGGACUUGGUUUUGCUCACAGACAGGGCCGCACGCUCCGUUUGCGAGCAAAUUCCAGUCAGCACUGUGUUCACAGAGUGGCCGGGAGUGGCUCUUCCUGCUUUAAAAGGCAGGGAGGCACAUUCCCGGCCAGACUGGGAAGCCAGCACUGGCUAAGGUUCUGGAAAACGGAGGCAAAUACUAUUAUUAUUAGUAUUCUGCAAGCAGCAGCCACGAGUGACAGAAAUUCUGAGGGCUUUAAAAACAUGGUGUGGUCCUAUACCUCGGGGCUGGCAACCCCUUUCCAACAGUCAUGCCAACCCAGACAUUGCCGCCCUGACCACCAGUCACACCCUUCACCCUGAUGUUGUGGCGGGGCCAGCCUGCCUUUUCCCUGUGCAUUUCCUCUCCCUCUACCAGCCAGUUCACCAGUUGGGAGGUUUGCUUUUGAGAAAGACAGCCACCCAGCCAGCAAACCAGCUGCAAGCUGGCUGGGAGAAGUUGAGGACGUGUGCAGGAAGGAGGCGGAGCAGCCCUGCCCCCACCCCAUGCCAAUGCAAUAUGGCUAGCAAAGUAACAUAGAGGCCAAUGGGGUCAGAAGCUGUAUUGCUUCCUAUUCCCGGGCCAGGGAUAGAACUCUGCAUUAUCUGUGCCUUUCAUGCCAGCCACUGACUAGCAUUGCAUCAGCUACACUGGCAGCUGCCCAUUCUGUAUAGAGCAAAAAAGAAGGAAGAAAAAUAGAGGGAGAUGAGGGUUUUUCCCCUCAGACAUAAUCCUCUGAGGAAGCAGCAUAUGAGAGUAGAUUAGAGGAAGACGCCUCAUUUUUAGCUUGCUCUUAUCUUUAAAAGCUCUUGAAGUAUUAGCCAUAUGGAACAUACUCAGAGGAUGCUGGCAUAUGCCCAUGAAAAACAGUCUUGUCUUGCCAUUUCCCUGAUGAAUGCCAGUUCCAGGCUUAUUCACUGGAUGGGAUUUCUACGUUUAUCUUAGAUGUUUUGCACCACUCCGCUUUCUAAAGUCUUUCUCCUCACUUUGCCAGGAUGUGGAUUAGGUUUGGAAAGAAUGAUUCACGAUCCCUCUUAAUCAUGAUUGCUGAAGUUUGGAUAAAAGCCUUGAAAUUCCUGCCCAUCGAUUGAAACAUAAAUGCUCCUAAGAAAAAUGUAGCUUGGCUAUCCCUAGAUAUGAUAGAUAAGUAUUAUAUAAGCCCAUGAAUGCCUUUAUAAGGUGAGGUAAUUAGGCAGAGGUCUAUCAGGUGCCUCUCUAGAAUGUCCUGGUGAAAGCUGCAUCUGUUGAAUUUGUGCCUGGACACAUCUUGCCCCAGCCCAGUGUUGAACUGAAUGACAUAGCAAAGUGUGGGUACAAGGGCAUAAUAUGAAAAUACAGCAUUUUAUACAAGGCUAUGCACUAGGGAUGUGUGAAUCGAUUUGGAUUCAAAUCGAUUCAACCCAAAUCUGGUUGACUCAGGUGAUUCGAGCUCAAAACAAAUCUGCCCAGAAACUCCUGGCCAAAUUUGAGCUUGAAUUGAAUCGUGUCAGAUUCUGUUCGAAUCAAUUCAAGAUUUGGGUUCCUCCUAUUAAUUCCCCCAGAUUCCCAGCUUCUUCUUUUUUAAGUAAAGCUAAGCUCUAGCCCUUGUAGAAGUGGAGUUAUGGAGCAAAAUGUGCAGUCACUGUUUUUCAAGUGUUUGGAUUCUUUGGUGUAUACUUUUCAUCAAUUAAUGCCUAUGAGGAUUCAUUACACAUCUUCAUUUCUUUUAUUCAUUUUUACUGUCUUUGGACAGUGCCAACUGUCAACUGCCAUGUGCCAACUAUACCUGCCCCCACCCGUUAGGCAGUGGGGUACUCAGUUUAUGUUCUAGGUGUUUUUUUUAAAGUGUUCAGACUCUUUGGUGUCUAGCAACCUUUCCUCAUAAUGAAUCCCUAUGAGGAUUUAUUACACACCAAAGAGUCUAAACACUUCAAAAAUUCCUAAAAUGUAAACUGGGUACCCCAGUGGCUUGUGGGUUGGGGGGGAUAGUUGGCUUAUGGGAUGCCACUAAUUCCCCACUCCCACCCACAAAGCAGUGGGGUCAAAAUGAACAGAAGAAACUAAAGUGUGUAAUGAAGACACUAAACAAGCUAAACACUUCAAAAAAUCCUAAAAAAUAAACCUGAGGACUCCUCUGCCUUGCAGGUGGUGUGUGUGUGUGUGGGAGGUGUAGUUGGCAGCUGGCACUGUCAAAUGACAGUCAAACCACCCUGAGCCACUUUUUAAGGGGCAGUAUAAAAAUUGAAUGAAUUAAUUAAUAAAAUGAACAGAAGAAAUGAAGGUGUGCAAUGAAUCCUCCAAUGAAUGAGUCCAUAACUCAACUUCUACAAGGGGUAGAAGAGCCAGCUCUAUAAAAGAGGGAGCAGCGCACUCCUUAGGGCCACUGGAAGACCGAGUAGCACCGGCAGCCACACCAGUCAGGUAAUCAACCUUCUUACUCACUAGUCACCCCCACCUGGUCCCCUUAUUGUGCCGAACCCGUCACCCGUACCAGGCCUGGUUUGGUUCGAUCAUGAACCAAAUUGCCCCCAGUUUGGUUUGUGAUUGAACUGAUGAACUGGCCUCGGUUCAAGGCAAACUGGUUCAGUACAAACCAUUCAUGCACAUCCCUACCAUCUGGGGACAGCUCUAAUUGUGGUGGAUUGUCUUCAUGUCUCUUCUAAACCUACAGUUCUAUGCUUUCUGUUAGUAAACAGAUUUCCAAAGUGUCUCUGUGGACUGCAUUCUCCCAGAAACCUGGGUCAAUGUGCAUACAAUGACCUAAAGUACUCCAUUUUGAGAAGUAUGUCAUUUAUUUCUAACCAUUCUCUCACAUUAGACAUAUGUCUUGUGAGUUUUUCUGGCCCUCCUCGCUUGUCCCUGCCUGUCUUCAGAUUUAUGAUCUCUUGUUAUGUGUAACAGAUGUGUCCAGCUACAUAAGGCAAAAUUAGAUUUGGUGAAUUGUGGAGGAAUAAGCAUUCUUUAUAUGGAAUGUUGUAAAGAAAAGAGUGUCCUGAAAUCUUAAGGGAUAAGGAAUGUGACUUCUGUGUGAAAAUGGCCCACAUUUUUAUAAAUAAGGUUCCUAUGACUGCUACUGUCAGCAACACAAACCCUUGCAAAUAAAUUAGAGGACUAGGAAAAGUAUUACUGAAUUUGCCACAGACCUAUAACUGCACUACCCCAUUAAAUGGGAGCAAACCAGAAGUGAAGCUACAACUGAUACAUUGUUUUCUGCCUAGUCUUGCAUCUGCCCUUUUGAACCAAUGGCUGCUUUCUGCCCUCUGACAUUUAGCCAUCCAUUCCUUACAAAAUCUCUGGAAAGCGUCCAAUUUACAAUUCUCGGAAUAUGCUCAAUAAUGUCAAGGAAAAAGAUAUGUCUCCUGGUCUCAUGAUCAGUGAGAUCCGGUUUAGAACGGUGAGCGGGGAGGGAGCCCUGGGCAGCCGGAUUGGCUGCCCACACGAUUGCCGGCUCUGUGACGGAGCCAGCGGGGGAUGGGGAGCUCGGGGGCUGCAUGGCCCCCGGAAGCUCCAGUAUGCCCUGCACGAAUGUGCAGGGCAUACUGAGGAGACCCCCGGAGUCGGGAGGCGGCUUUUCGCAUCCCCUCCAGGGGUCUACUCGCGAAUAACCGCGGUGUGGAGCAGCGCUGCAGCUACUCAUGAUAGGGAAGCCCGGGUUUGCAGAGCGCUUGCUCCGCAAACCCAGGCUUCGGGGAGGGCUAAAAAAGUGGGCGAGCUGCUAGUAAGCCACCGGGUUCGCCUGCGCGCCCAGUGGUUUACACGAUCAGGCAAAAUCAGGCUAGGCUCCCCUAGCCCGAUUUUGCCUGAUCGUGAGAAUAGCCCCAUGGUCAAUCAGCCUGGGUCCCACAGAAAAUGGGGAAUGAAAUCAGCUGUAGAUAAUUUACUAGUUGAGUGUAUGAAAUUCUAAUGUGGUGGGGCCUGCCUGGGGGACCUGGAAGUGUUUGCAGGCUGAGGGCCCUUCCCAGCGAGCCUGAACAUUCUCUACACCUCGAGACUGGUUUACUACAAUGCGUUCUACAUGGGGCUGCCCUUGUAUGUAGUCCAGAAACUACAGAAUGCGGCAGCCAGGUUGGUCUCCCGGUCAUCUCAGAGAUACCAUAUUACUCCUGUACUGAAAGAGCUACACUGGCUACCAAUAAGUUUCCUGGCAAAAUACAAGGUGCUGGUUAUAACCUAUAAAGCCCUAAAUGGCUUGGGCCCUGGGUAUUUAAGAGAAUGUCUUCUUCGUUAUGAACCCCACUGCCCAUUGAGAUCAUCAGGAGAGGUCUGUUUGCAGUUGCCACCAGCUCGUCUGGUGGCCGCUUGCGGACGGGCCUUCUCCGCUGCUGCCCCGAAGCUUUGGAAUCCUCUCCCUGCUGAAAUAAGAUCUCCCCAUCUCUGACAACUUUUAAAAAGUCUUUAAAGACACAUCUGUUCACCCAGGCUUUUAAUUAAAUAUUCUUUUAAUAGUUUUAACAUUGUUCUUAAAAUAAUUUUAAAUUUUAAAUUGCUGUAAUGUGUCAGUCUUUUCUGUUAUCAUUUUUUUUUAAUGAAUGUUUUAACUUUUCUGUCAUUUAUUCUGUUUUAACUAAUGUUUUAACCUUUCUGUUGUAAACCGCCCAGAGACGUGAGUUUGGGCAGUAUAGCAAUAUGUUAGAUAAAUAAAUAAAUAAAAAU